AGAAAACCAGAAAACAUUUUGGGGUCCCGUGUCUGCCCGCUCUCCCGACGAUUUCCAUCUCUCCCUCCAUUUUGCCCCCUCCUCCUCCUCCUCCUCCUUGCCGCUUUAGGGUUUCUCCAGCUCGGCGCCCCGGCUCGCUCCCUCCUUCCCAAUUCCGCGCCCCCGAUUCGGCGCGGCCGCCGCGUCGCCAUGGUCUCCGGCGUCGCGGACAACCCGGACGGGGAAGGCGGCGCCCAGCGCCCGCCGCCGCCUGUGGGGGCCCGGGCCGCCCUUGGCACGCCGCCGGUCUCCGCCGGCGCCGCGUACUCCGCGUCUACUAGUGGGGGGAGUGCCGGCUCCCCGUCCAGCCGCAGCGAGCAGCACGCCCCUGACGGUGGUGGCAAGGGUGCCGCCCCCGGGGCUGCGGCGGCGGCGUCGGCGUCCACGCCGGCCAGCGAGAGCACGUUCCUCCGCCUGAAUAAUCUCGACAUCAACGGCGACGACGCGCCGUCGUCGCAGGCUCCUACGAGCAAGAAGAAAAAGAGGGGCGCACGGGCAGUUGGUCCUGAUAAAGGUAACCGGGGACUGCGCCAGUUUAGUAUGAAAGUUUGUGAGAAAGUUGAAAGUAAAGGGAGAACAACAUAUAAUGAGGUGGCAGAUGAACUUGUUGCUGAGUUUACAGACCCCAAUAAUAAUAUUGAGGCACCAGAUCCUGAUAAUCCCAAUGCACAACAAUAUGAUGAGAAAAAUAUAAGACGAAGAGUUUACGAUGCUUUAAAUGUUCUGAUGGCUAUGGAUAUUAUAUCUAAAGAUAAAAAGGAAAUCCAGUGGAAGGGCUUGCCUCGGACUAGUAUAAGUGAUAUUGAAGAAUUGAAGACGGAGCUUGUUGGAUUGAAAGGUAGGAUUGAGAAGAAAAGUGCUUAUUUACAGGAGCUACAGGACCAAAGUGAAAGAGCUUAUGGUGCUGUGGACUUUGUUUGAUGGUGGCUUUACGCAACUAAAGCUGCAGCAUGGAAAAAAAUACAUACUCUUGUCUGGCAUGUUUUAUCUUCAUCUGUACUGAUUGAUCAAAUAUUUUGUUUAUUGUUAUAAGGAUCCAUAGUUGUCUCUUAGGCUGCAUAUUUAGUGCAACUCACUGUCUUUACUGGCAUAUGCUGUUCAGGUCAUCAAAUCAAGGUCCACCAUUCUGGCUUCUGCAUAUGUAUUUCACUUUUGAUGUUUGUGAUGUUUCAUGCUGUCUCAACUGCACUUUGCUACUGUUCUUGUCUGUGCUGGUUUAGAUUUGUAGAACACAUAUGUAAACUGUCAUGUACAGUUGUCACAUUCAACAAGCUGUAGCAGGUCGGCUCCAUGACUAGCUAGUUUUCGUGAAACCAAUGGCCCUUGCUCUGAUUUUACUGAAAAGCUGGCGUGCCAUCAGCAUUGUUAACCUUGUUUGCCGCAAUAUGGCUUCACAGAAAAUGUUUGCAGUAAUUGUUACUUUAUAUUCAGUGUUAAUCUUUCUUACAUCUAGUACUUCUUACCGCCUACCAAACUUGUGAUUUUCAUACCAUGGACUUUUUUUGGCAUAUCAAGUAUGUAGGUCUGCAAAAUCUGAUUCAGCGAAAUGAGCAAUUAUAUGGUUCGGGAAACACACCUUCUGGUGGAGUGGCUUUGCCAUUUAUCCUAGUUCAGACCCGGCCUCAUGCAACCGUGGAAGUCGAGAUAUCAGAAGAUAUGCAGUU